UACGGAGGGGGCGAGCGUUAUUCGGAAUUAUUGGGCGUAAAGGGCGCGUAGGCGGCUGUACAAGUCAAAGGUGAAAUCCCUCGGCUCAACUGAGGAACUGCCUUUGAAACUGUACGGCUUGAGGCCGGGAGGGGGUAGCGGAAUUCCCAGUGUAGCGGUGAAAUGCGUAGAUACUGGGAGGAACACCAGUGGCGAAGGCGGAUCUCUGGGCCGAUACUGACGCUGAGGAGCGAAAGCGUGGGGAGCGAACAGG
rnacentral:rRNA from 1 species